GACGAACGCUGGCGGCGUGCUUAACACAUGCAAGUCGAACGGAAAGGCCCUGCUUUUGUGGGGUGCUCGAGUGGCGAACGGGUGAGUAACACGUGAGUAACCUGCCCUUGACUUUGGGAUAACUUCAGGAAACUGGGGCUAAUACCGGAUAGGAGCUCAUGCUGCAUGGUGGGGGUUGGAAAGUUUCGGCGGUUGGGGAUGGACUCGCGGCUUAUCAGCUUGUUGGUGGGGUAGUGGCUUACCAAGGCUUUGACGGGUAGCCGGCCUGAGAGGGUGACCGGCCACAUUGGGACUGAGAUACGGCCCAGACUCCUACGGGGGGCAGCAGUGGGAAAUAUUGCACAAUGGGCGGAAGCCUGAUGCAGCAACGCCGCGUGCGGGAUGACGGCCUUCGGGUUGUAAACCGUUUUCGCCUGUGACGAAGCGUGAGUGACGGUAAUGGGUAAAGAAGCACCGGCUAACUACGUG
rnacentral:rRNA from 1 species